CAGAUCCUUUAAUAAUAAAGAAUGGGUGGAAAUAUUCUCACAUCAUGCUGCAUAACAGUACAUUUCAGCUGUAACAAAACAAAUCUGAUGAAAGCUUCAACCAGGAGAAUAGGAAAGGAUGUCAAGGCCAAAGAGAAGGCCAUAUAACAAAUAGUUGCUGAAUUCAUGAAGACUGGGAUGAUACAGUACUUUUCGACUCUUAUGUACCAUAUCUAAACAUCAUUUGAGGAUCCCUUUCUAAGAAAAGAAGAAUUUGCAUAUUCAAAGACUCUUUAGUUUAUUGUUUGUUUGUAUUUUGUUUAACGUUCUUCUUGAGAAUUUUUUACUCAUAUGGGGAUGCCAACAUUUGCCGAUGGAGAGCUGCAAAUUUUGUCCUUUACUUGGCACACAUGGCUAAUUGAGCAAUGAGGGAUCUUUUUGGUGCUAGCAUCUACUGCAACACAGGACCUCUGUAUAUACAGUCUUAACUCUAUGUCCGACAGUGGGAUUUCGAACCAGCAAUUUAAUGAUCAACUCCUUACUCAUGACUCUUGAGCAGACGCUCUUGCCACUGCACCACGCAGGUGACUUCAUAGGUUGUAAAAUAAUAAGAUAGGAUUUAUAACUUAAAACUGGUGUUUUUAAUAAAUUCAGUCACAGUAUAGAAAUGUUUGGAAUA